rnacentral:rRNA from 1 species
AUUGAACGCUGGCGGCAGGCCUAACACAUGCAAGUCGAGCGGAGCGGCGGAGGGGGGCGUAAUGCCUAGGAAUCUGACCGUGAGCAGGGGAUGACGUCAGGAAACGGGAGCUGAUACCGCAUCCUCUCAGAUUAGCCGAGGCCGGUUUAGCUAGUGGGUGGGGGAAAGGCCUACCAAGGCGACGAGCCGUAACUGGUUUGAGUGGCUGAGCAGUCACACUGGAACUGAGACACGGUCCAGACUCCUACGGGAGGCAGCAGUGGGGAAUAUUGGACAAUGGGCGAAAGCCUGAUCCAGCCAUGCCGCGUGUGUGAUGAAGGUCUUCGGAUUGUAAAGCACUUUAAGUUGGGAGGCGGUACCAGCAGAAUAAGCACCGGCUAACUUCGUGCCAGCAGCCGCGGUAAUUC